UUCGGGCCUCGCGCUAUCAGAUGAGCCUGCGUAGGAUUAGCUUGUUGGUGAGGUAAGGCUCACCAAGGCGACGAUCCUUAGCUGGUCUGAGAGGAUGAUCAGCCACACUGGAACUGAGACACGGUCCAGACUCCUACGGGAGGCAGCAGUGGGGAAUAUUGCGCAAUGGGCGAAAGCCUGACGCAGCCAUGCCGCGUGUGUGAAGAAGGCCCUUGGGUUGUAAAGCACUUUCAAUUGGGAAGAAAGGUUGCGUGUUAAUAGCACGUAGCUGUGACGUUACCUUUAGAAGAAGCACCGGCUAACUCCGUG
rnacentral:rRNA from 1 species